AUGAUAACCCGGUCGAAGCUGGUGGAGCAGCUGCGCGACUACCAGAUCCGAUCCCAGCACAAGCGCGACAUUAUCGGAGCUAUCUCAUGGGGCUUGCUGUGCUGUCUCCUAAUAGUAUCCUCAUACAUGAUGCUAUACUUCAGGCACUUCUGGUUAUCAGCCGUCAUCAUCUCCGUCGGCAUUCUUCUCCCCGCCGGCCUGUAUAUUUUGAGGCAGAGGAAGCUGGCUAAGAAAAGAGAGCGGAGAUUAUUGUUGCCUCUCUCCAUGUAA
rnacentral:rRNA from 1 species